rnacentral:rRNA from 1 species
AUUGAACGCUGGCGGCAGGCCUAACACAUGCAAGUCGAGCGGCAGCGGGAAAGUAGCUUGCUACUUUUGCCGGCGAGCGGCGGACGGGUGAGUAAUGCCUGGGGAUUUGCCCAGUCGAGGGGGAUAACUACUGGAAACGGUAGCUAAUACCGCAUACGCCCUACGGGGGAAAGCAGGGGACCUUCGGGCCUUGCGCGAUUGGAUGAACCCAGGUGGGAUUAGCUAGUUGGUGAGGUAACGGCUCACCAAGGCGACGAUCCCUAGCUGGCCUGGGAGGAUGAUCAGCCAAACUGGAACUGAGGCACGGUCCAGACUCCUACGGGAGGCAGCAGUGGGGAAUAUUGCACAAUGGGGGAAACCCUGAUGCAGCCAUGCCGCGUGUGUGAAGAAGGCCUUCGGGUUGUAAAGCACUUUCAGCGAGGAGGAAAGGUCAGUAGCUAAUAUUUGCUGGCUGUGACGUUACUCGCAGAAGAAGCACCGGCUAACUCCGUGCCAGCCGCCGCCGUAA